AUGGCUUUUACAGAUACCGGAAAGACUCCCGUGCAGCCCAAGGUGGCGAUUCACCGGAUUAGAAUCACCCUCAUCAGCCGCAACGUGAAGUCUUUGGAGAAGGUAUGUGCUGACCUCAUCAGAGGCGCAAAGGAAAAGAAUCUCAAGGUGAAAGGACGGGUUCGGAUGCCUACCAAGACUCUGAGAAUAACUACAAGGAAAACUCCUUGUGGUGAAGGUUCUGAGACUUGGGAUCGUUUCCAGAUGAGGAUCCACAAGCGACUUAUAGACCUGCACAGUCCUCUGAGAUGGUCAAGCAGAUCACUUCUAUCAGUACUGAGCCAGAAGUGGAGGUUGAAGUCACCAUUGCAGAUGCUUAAAUCAACAUUUUUAAUAAACUGAUAAUCAGUUGU